rnacentral:rRNA from 1 species
CGCUGGCGGCAGGCCUAACACAUGCAAGUCGAACGAGAAGCCGGAGCUUGCUCCGGUGGAAAGUGGCAGACGGGUGAGUAACGCGUGGGAAUUUACCCAGUGGUACGGAAUAACUCAGGGAAACCGGAGCUAAUACCGUAUAAGCCCUUCGGGGGAAAGAUUUAUCGCCAUUGGAUGAGCCCGCGUCAGAUUAGGUUGUUGGUGGGGUAACGGCCUACCAAGCCUGCGAUCUGUAGCUGGUCUGAGAGGACGAUCAGCCACACUGGGACUGAGACACGGCCCAGACUCCUACGGGAGGCAGCAGUGGGGAAUUUUGCACAAUGGGGGAAACCCUGAUGCAGCAACGCCGCGUGAGUGAUGAAGGCCCUAGGGUUGUAAAGCUCUUUCAGCAGGGAAGAUGAUGACGGUACCUGCAGAAGAAGCCCCGGCUAACUCCGUGCCAGCAGCCGC